rnacentral:piRNA from 1 species
UGUGUGACAAAGUAGAGUUAGUG